rnacentral:tRNA from 1 species
GCCAGGAUGGCGGAACUGGUAUACGCGCACGGUUCAGGGCCGUGUCCCGUAAGGGUUGUGGGUCCGACUCCCACUCCUGGCA